CCGCCCGUAGCUCAGCCUGGUAGAGCAGUUGCCUUUUAAGCAAAUGGUCGUAGGUUCGAAUCCUACCGGGCGGACAA
rnacentral:tRNA from 1 species